rnacentral:lncRNA from 1 species
CUUCAUUAACUCAUUCGUCACUUUCGGGUUCAGUUGCCGGAUCUAGCCAAGGGCGUACAAAGGGGGGCUGGUAUGCCCCGGGUGCCACCUGGGGGGGGGUUGACAAAAUGGCCCUCUGCCUCCCCCCCAACUGUUGAGUGGUCGAGGGAUCUAGCCUCUUUUUUCCGGUGGAACCAAGGCACUCUCCACCUCUUCUUCCUCCCCUUUCCUAUCAUGCGCUUUUCCUCUAAGCAGCUCAAACUUCGGGUUUUGGAAGACCCUUUUUCUAUUAGCCCUUCCCCCUCCUCUUCUACAUCCUGUUCUCUCUUACUUUCAGAAUCGCCAGGCUGCAUUCCUGAGCGAGAUAAGUUUACCUCACUUUCACUGUGUAAAGGAGUCAGAUUCCUACUAAUUUCUGGUUCUCCCCCCUCUCCUUCGGAUUCUGCUCCGUCUGUCAGAAAGGGAACAUCUCUGACAUACUUGGUGUGUGUGUGUGUGGCAGGGGAGAGAGACUGACUAGCUGGUCUGCACAUGGCCACGGGGUGCACUGCACCAUUCCCACCUCCUCAGGGGGCACUGGGAAGGCAGGAGAGGAAAAGGAAUUUUGUUAUUAUUCAUUGAACUGGGAGGCAGCUAAGCCUUGAGUCUUGUGGAUGACUUCUUCACUCACAGUUGUUGCCUCCUUCCUUCUCUCUCUCUCUCCCUUGUUCCCUAGCACACCCACUAGAGAAUGUAAGUCCCCGGAGGUGCAGCAGGGGAUUUCUGUGUAUUUUUCUUAGUCCUUCACAAUGUACAUCAAUCAAGAAGGUGAGAAAUAUUUCCUUUCCUUUGCACACACUCCUGCACUGUCGGGGGGGCACAAACAUGCAUCAGAGGGGGGCACUGGACGGUGGCUAAAGAUGUGGCCCCUAUAGUCUCUGUAUCGGAAGAUCCGCUCGGCCAAGCUGAUAAAGCUCAUUUUUCCCCCCAAGCUUCAGAAUUGCCUCCCGAGGUGUUUAACGACCUCGAGCCUUUGAUGAGGCUCCAAGGCACAUUUUUAUCCAGCAGAGUUCCCAGCACAGGGAAGAGACGAGAGGUCUGGGCUGCAUUGUAAAGAGUUUUAUUUCUAAGCUACGCAGACAGAAAAGACAUCCUCUCUCUAUGAAAGCAUAGAGCAGCGGAACAAAGGAACAAAGGAAACAGGAAACCACUAACGUCACAUCCCGUCUCCCGACUCCCGUGAGACUUCCAAUAUUAUGGAAUUCCAGGAAUGUAAACAGAGUUCUGUGACUCCAAGCAGCUGCACAGUGAUAAGAACAGAAACUAACACUCUGCUCCUGUUGUUCCUUCAUAGCUGUAACACCUGUAAAGGACUCCUGUCCCUUAGUCUUGAUCUGGCAACAGGAUGACUCCCAUUUAGUUUCUUCUAGAACCAGAAAUUCUUAAUCUGGAUGGAGCCACCACUAGGCCAGCAACUCUAGCUUGAGUUUGGGCUUCUAAAAUUUGCUGAAGAUCCUGAGAAUGAAAUGAAACACCUGUGCAAGAUUUCUUAUUCAACGUAGGCUUUAAAUGUUCCUAGGUUUCACACACUCGCUUCCCACCCGGCUCUUUUCAGCAGCUUCAGUUGUGGUGGGCAGAAAGAUAUGCCCUUUUUACCUUUACUCAGAUGAGAGCACAAAGAAUCAAUUUAUCCCAGAAUCCUCUAGGCCUUUUGGAAUCAUUCCCAGCCUACUCUGGAAUGAGAUUAUAGCAAGUCGUCUCUGGAGGUGUUGGAGCUAAAACUGUGGUUAGUCAGAGGAAACAUGCUGUUCCAACUAGACUAUUUUUGAAGAGGGGGAAAAAAAUAGAAACCACAGUGAGAAACUGUUAAAACAAGAGCUGUGCUUUUUAAAAAAGGACUGUCAGGUUUAUUUGUCACGCAAAUAUAUAUUAAAUAUAGACUCCAGACUAUCAUAUAGUACAUUGGAAAUAAGGAAAUUGAUUCAAGCUGCUCUGCUUGUUCCCUGUGGUAGAUACUGUUCAAUAUCCACUUACAAGUGUUAAAUUUCACCCUGGGUGGGAUGCCAGAUGAAUUUAUAGUCUAUAUAAACCAAAACGUACAUUUAAUAGAAAAGUCCAGGUCAACAUAUCGACAUUUCAGAAACAUUAUGAAGAUGCAGACUGCUUGCCGUUGUGUUUGC